AUGAGUCACAAUGAGAAAACAAUCUCGUCAUGGAGACAAAAUUCUAAUAGAAAAUCGGCUAGAAAUCGGCAUGUCAGGAGCUGCACAUUCCGUAUUCCUUGGCAAUCUGAAUUCUCUCCCAUUGAGCUCGUCAAGGAUCUAGCAGAAAGAGUGAUGAACGCUUUACGGUUGGUCUCUCUGAGGAGAUCUUUACACCGAGACUCAUCGUCCUUAGGAAGAUCGGCAUCAGCAGGAUCGUCUGCUGAUUCUCAUAGAACAGCUGCUGUUGAGGAUUGCAUUGAGUUCAUCCACACUUCUUUUUCUAGAUCAAAUUCCUCAACUAAAACAUCGCACGAAGAUUCUAUAGAAGCUUCUUGA